rnacentral:tRNA from 1 species
UCCUUGGUAGUACAGCUGGUUAAAAAUCUGCUUGCAAUUCAGGAGACCCUGGUUCAAAUCCUGGCCUGGGAA